UACGUAGGGGGCAAGCGUUGUCCGGAAUCAUUGGGCGUAAAGAGCGUGUAGGCGGCUCGGUAAGUCCGCUGUGAAAGUCCAGGGCUCAACCCUGGAAUGCCGGUGGAAACUGUCGAGCUCGAGUCCGGAAGAGGAGAGUGGAAUUCCUGGUGUAGCAGUGAAAUGCGUAGAUAUCAGGAGGAACACCGAUGGCGAAGGCAGGUCUCUGGGCUGACACUGACGCUCAUGCACGAAAGCGUGGGGAGCAAACAGG
rnacentral:rRNA from 1 species